GGCCGGCUGGCGCAAUGGUAGCGCGUCAGACUUCUACUUGGUAGCGAUCUGAAGGCUGCGGGUUCGAGCCCCGCGUUGGUCA
rnacentral:tRNA from 2 species